UUCCGGUUGAUCCUGCCGGAGGCUACCGCUAUUGGAGUCCGAUUAAGACGUGCGAGUCGAGAGCUUUCGGAGCUCGGCAUACUGCUCAGUAACACGUGGGUAACCUGCCCUAUGCUGGGGAAUAACCUCGGGAAACUGAGAAUAAUGCCCCAUAGCCCACUACGCCUGGAACGGUGAGUGGAUGAAAGCCCCGGCGGCACAGGAUGGGCCUGCGGCGUAUCAGGUAGUAGGGGGUGUAAAGUACCCUCUAGCCUUCGACGCGUACGGGUUGUGAGAGCAAUAGCCCGGAGAUGGAUUCUGAGACACGAAUCCAGGUCCUACGGGACGCAGCAGUCGCGAAACCUUGACAAUGCGGGAAACCGUGAUCAGGGGACUCCAAGUGCCAGGAGUAAGAUCCUGUGCUUUUCUUUUCUCUUCAAAGGAUUUGGAAUAAGAGGUGGGUAAGGACGGUGCCAGCCGCCGCGGUAAUACCGGCGCCUCGAGUGGUAGUCGAUUUUAUUGGGCCUAAAACGUCCGUCGCCGGUCUGGUGCAUUCGUGGGUAAAUCAACCCGCUCAACGGGUUGAAUUCUGCGAGCACGGCCAGACUAGGGACCGGGAGAGGUGUGGGGUACGCUCGGGGUAGGGGUAAAAUCCUGUCAUCCCGAGCGGACCACCUGUUGCGAAGGCUCCACACUAGAACGGAUCCGACGGUCAGGGACGAAGCCUAGGGGCACGAACCGGAUUAGAUACCCGGGUAGUCCUAGGUGUAAACGCUGUGGACUUGGUGUUGGGAGCUCCCAGAGGGCUCUCAGUGCCGUAGCGAAGGUGAUAAGUCCACUGCCUGGGGAGUACGGUCGCAAGGCUGAAACUUAAAGGAAUUGGCGGGGGAACACCGCAACCUGAGGAUUGUGCGGUUUAAUUGGAUUCAACGCCGGG
rnacentral:rRNA from 1 species